GACGAACGCUGGCGGCGUGCUUAACACAUGCAAGUCGAGCGGUAAGGCCCUUUCGGGGGUACGACGAGCGGCGAACGGGUGAGUAACACGUGGGUGACCUGCCCUUAGCUCUGGGGAUAAGCCUGGGAAAACGUGGGUCGUAAAUAACCGGAUAUGACUCCAUAACGCAUGUUGUGGGGUGGAAAGCCUUGUGCGGCUAGGGAUGGGCCCGCGGCCUAUCAGCUUGUUGGUGGGGUGAUGGCCACCAAGGCGACGACGGGUAGCCGGCCUGAGAGGGCGACCGGCCACACU
rnacentral:rRNA from 1 species